GCCGUUAUAGCUCAGAUGGUAGAGCACGUCAUUGGUAAUGACGGAGCCCCAAGUUCGAGUCUUGGUAGCGGCA
rnacentral:tRNA from 1 species